GAUGAAGAACGUAGCGAAAUGCGAUAAGUAAUGUGAAUUGCAGAAUUCAGUGAAUCAUCGAAUCUUUGAACGCACAUUGCGCCCGCUAGUAUUCUGGUGGGCAUGCCUGUCCGAGCGUCAUUUCAACCCUCAAGCCCCCGGGCUUGGUGUUGGGGAUCGGCGAGCCUCCGCGCCCGCCGUCCCCUAAAUCUAGUGGCGGUCUCGCUGUAGCUUCCUCUGCGUAGUAGCACACCUCGCACUGGGAAACAGCGCGGCCACGCCGUUAAACCCCCAACUUCUGAACGUUUGACCUCGGAUCAGGUAGGAAUACCCGCUGAACUUAAGCAUAUCAAUAAGCGGAGGA
rnacentral:misc_RNA from 1 species